GACGAACCGUGCAAACGUUGUUCGGAAUCACUGGGCUUAAAGGGCGCGUAGGCGGCUCGCCAAGUCGGGGGUGAAAUCUUUCGGCUCAACCGGAAAAGUGCCUUCGAUACUGGCGGGCUGGAGGGAGGUAGGGGCAUGUGGAACUUCCGGUGGAGCGGUGAAAUGCGUUGAUAUCGGAAGGAACGCCGGUGGCGAAGGCGGCUUCCUGGCCUGUUCUUGGACGCUGAGGCGCGAAAGCUAGGGGAGCAAACGGG
rnacentral:rRNA from 1 species